AGUCAUAUGCUUGUCUCAAAGAUUAAGCCAUGCAUGUCUAAGUACGAGCCUCGGUACAUAGCGAAACUGCGAAUUGCUCAUUAAAUCAGUUAUGGUUCCUUUGAUCGCUACCGUCUACAUGGAUAACUGUGGUAAUCCUAGAGCUAAUACAUGCCAACAUCGCCGCCUCUCUCCCCCGAGGGAGGCGUGCUUUUAUCAUGACCAAGACCGACCCGAUGCCCCGUCUCCCCCUGGAGGCGGGCGCGGUUUUUGCGACGAAUUCGAGAUAAAUUGGCGGAUCGCACGGCCCCGGCGCCGGCGACGUAUCUUUCGAGUGUCUGCCCUAUCAACUUUCGACGGCAUGCUAUGCGCCUCCCGUGGUGGCAACGGGUAACGGGGAAUCAGGGUUCGAUUCCGGAGAGGGAGCUUGAGAAACGGCUACCACAUCCAAGGAAGGCAGCAGGCGCGCAAAUUACCCAUUUCCGACACGGGGAGGUAGUGACGAAAAAUAACGAUACGGGACUCUUUGGAGGCCCCGUAAUCGGAAUGAGCACAUCCCAAAUCCUUUAGCGAGGAUCCAUU
rnacentral:rRNA from 1 species